AUGGCCUCCAUUGGUUUUCCCACUAUUGAUGUCAAGAAUUUUGACUUUUGUAAAAUCAGUUGUAUGGUUGAGAACAGACACAUCAAAAAUCAAUAGGAUGUUGGAAUUGAUGUUGAGCUUGAAUGACAUAUAAAGUCAACAGAACAUGAAGCAAACACUCUGUGUCUGUGGCAUGGUUAAUAUUUCAGUUUCAAACUUCUGCAAAGAAAUACAUGCUAAAACAUUAGAUGAUAACUUCUCCCUCAUUGCGAUAUUUAUUAUAUUGAAUUGCUUGAAAACCAAUGGAUAGAAUUUUGGAGAUUGGUUACUGAUGAAAAAUUAAUUUCACUAGAGCAUUGCAAACCCAGAAGUUACCUGGCCUGCACAGAAAUGUUUUCUUGGUUACUUAGGGAAGUGAGGGUGGAAACUGGAGAGGCUCAGGCCGAAAUCUUUGAAUUCUCCUUGGAUGUGAAGGCAAUGGGUGGAGAGCAGAGCAACGAAAACAAACCAGCUGCCAACCAGAGCCAGGGAACACAGGGUACAGAAAUGGAGAGGACUACCUCAGAAACAGCUGCUGCCCUCAGUUCACCAGGCCAAACCGAACCUGGCAGCAUUCCCCAGAUACUCAUCGGGGACAAGAUGGUGGAUGACAUGCGUUUCAUGAUAACUUGCACGAACUGGUACUGAGCCUUGGGAUGCAGCAGGAGUCAAGGCGAGGGUGAGUCAAGAAGUGAGAGUGCAACUUAUAAAUGUCAGCAGUGGAUUAAGUUUGGACACCAUUAUAUCACAGCAUCAAUGCCUUCCACCAAUUUGUCCAUAAAGAAGAGACUUCACAGAUGACUCGGGGAGGACAAGCGGAGCCUCAGUGUCCUUUUCAACAACAUCAUUGCUUAUAACUAAUAACUGUCUGUUCUCUAAUAGCAUUAUAUCAUUCAUGAAUAAAUGAGGUGGCAGUUGGCA